rnacentral:lncRNA from 1 species
ACCUUUCACCUGCCUUCCCGGACCUGCGAGCUUGCCCUCCCACCCCAGAACCCCGCAGGGCUGGGCCCUGCCUCACCGCUAACCACCAAGAGAGGAUGGGGGACUGCCUGGGGGCUUCCGGGAGGCAAGUACUGAGAAACCCAAGCCUGAGGCUCCCAGCGUCUUCCAAAGCUUCUAGGUCAGGAACCUGGAAUUUAGAACUGGCCAACAGGAUGCCCCC